CUACAAGUGUGACAUCAGCGGUCAUGGAGAGUCUCCAUCCAGCUGGAUCACUGUCACAGAGAGAAACACCACCACACCUCCACCUACAUCCACACCUCCUCCUGGUUCCACCGCUAUCACUCUUCCUCCGUCACUCUCUCUCUCUGUGUUGUCAUGUGUUGGAUCAGUUUGUGUUGUGGUUCUACUGGUGUUACUGGUUCUCCUAUUGAGACGAUGUGUUCACAGGAAACCUGAAGCUGAACAAAAAGAAGAUGCAGAAGAUGCUAUCACAUACAGUGAUGUUAAAAUAUCACAUUGUAAACAGCCAACCAAGCAAAACAGAGAGACUGAUCCAGCUGCAGUUUACUCAGCAGUGAAAACUACAGACGUCAGUUAUGGACAAAUCAUCAUCAAAGAGAAGAAAAACAGAACAAAGCCGAGAGAGACUGACACAGCUGUAGUCUAUUCGGCAGUGAGACCUGAAGACAUCAAUUAUGGACAAAUAGCUGUUACACCAAAAAGGAAAAGAGACUUUAAACCAGAGCCAG